rnacentral:lncRNA from 1 species
UACCAUUCCUAUUGUUGUUAUUAAAAACAUUCAAUAAAAUGUAUUUUUUCAUAAAUUUUAUUAUUUUUACACCAAAAAGUGUACCAUCUGUAUUUUUAUUCUACAAAUGUCUUUUUUUCAGUAUUUCACCCUGAGAGAUUUCCUUUCUAUACUUUCAGGCAACUCUUGCAGCCAGUCGUCAGUCCAGCUCUCCCAGUAACAGUGUCUCUCAAGCUAGUUCAGCGCAAGGCACAGUGAGUUGUUUUGAAUCUAUUAAAUGUGUGACAUGGCUAAUGGAAAUUACAACUGUGCUCAGUUCUAAUUAUUUUUUUAUGAAAAUGAGCUUAUGUUUGUUUGACGAUAAAUUUGGAAUGUUUUAUUAAAUUGAGCUGAUCUAUGGUGUUCUUUUUUUUUUUUAGGUCAACUUAAGUACCACCUCUGGUGGAGGGACCAUAACAAACCCUCGUCCAGUGGGACCUGCCACCUCUGCUACAUCAACAGCCCUCAGUCAGUCAGUUUUGUUGGGUGGAAACUCAGGUGGACAGGGUCAGAUGUACCUGAGAGUAAGUGUAUUGUCAGAGUGCACUUAAAUCCAGACCAAGGCCUAAUGUAUGUUUUUACAGCUUGUAAUGACACCGUACAACAGUAUAAAAGUGUUCACCUGCUGACAUUAAUGUAAUGUUUAUCCAAGCUCACUCUUUUCCUGAGGGUGUAAUUUUACUGCUCUCACCACUCACAGGUAAACCGCUCUCUCAGGGCACCUCUCACCCCUCAGCUCAUUUUCAUGCCUGGUGGCACGGCGACAGCUGCUGUUGCAACGGUUGCCCAACAGCAUCAACCCCAGCAGCAACAGGAAACCGUUCCCACAUCCUCAAGUAACCAGCCAGACAAUGAUCAGGUGCAGAACUUGGCUAUGCGUUGCGUUUCCACUCCAAGGGUGGCUACUGUGAAGACUGAGUUUGCAGACAGGAAGGAAACAAGUGGUGAGGAUUAAAAUGAAGAUAUUACAGGUCUUAAAAAUAUGUUUUUUUUUCUGCUUGGCCAGUCAAGCCUGUUGUUUAGAUUGCACUUGCCCUGCUCCAGCACAC